rnacentral:snRNA from 16 species
GCGAAGACGGGGAGGCUGAUAAGGACAAAGUUGGGGCAGAGGUGGGAAAGAUAGAUGGCAGAGACGAGGGCACAUCGGUUGGUG